rnacentral:misc_RNA from 1 species
CCCAGCAGGCUGUUGUAGUGAAUGCGUCACAUCAGCUACCUGCAUUGAAACAUCUAGCUAUUAGGUCAUCCAGAUUACAGCACUUAAAUUGAAGAAUAUAAAGCAUAUUAAUAAAAUAAUCCAAAACAACUAUCUGAAGCCUGUAAAUUAUGGAAUUUACUCAUUGACAAUUGGAAAUUGAGGUCUUUAUGGAUUUUCUAGUAUUGGGCAAUGUUGAAGUAAAUAAAGGAAAGGAGUUGUUUGCAUUAUCAUCUUACAGUAUAGCUAUCAUAGCUAAUUAUACAUCUCUGCUUUGAUUUACAAUGUGGAAAUCCUAGGGCAACCUACUAUGGCCCUAUUUGGAGUUGAGGUUGCGAAGGCAAAAAAAUGUUUUUUCGAAAAGCACUAUUUUAGAUGCUCUUAAAAAAAGUAAAGUUGUUUUGGAGUUAUUAUGACUAAAACAACUCAAAUUAAAUUUUAAACCAAUUUUUAAUAUCCUCUAACUAACAUAUUAAAAAAAUAUUUUUCAACAGCAGUUUCAACGCCAAUAAUAAACAGGUUCUAAGAUUUGUUAGUCACCAUAUAGUUCUAAACAAUUACUUUAACUCAUUUUCCAGGUAACUGCAGCA